UUUAUGGAGAGUUUGAUCCUGGCUCAGGAUGAACGCUGGCGGCGUGCCUAAUACAUGCAAGUCGAGCGAACGGACGAGAAGCUUGCUUCUCUGAUGUUAGCGGCGGACGGGUGAGUAACACGUGGAUAACCUACCUAUAAGACUGGGAUAACUUCGGGAAACCGGAGCUAAUACCGGAUAAUAUUUUGAACCGCAUGGUUCAAAAGUGAAAGACGGUCUUGCUGUCACUUAUAGAUGGAUCCGCGCUGCAUUAGCUAGUUGGUAAGGUAACGGCUUACCAAGGCAACGAUGCAUAGCCGACCUGAGAGGGUGAUCGGCCACACUGGAACUGAGACACGGUCCAGACUCCUACGGGAGGCAGCAGUAGGGAAUCUUCCGCAAUGGGCGAAAGCCUGACGGAGCAACGCCGCGUGAGUGAUGAAGGUCUUCGGAUCGUAAAACUCUGUUAUUAGGGAAGAACAUAUGUGUAAGUAACUGUGCACAUCUUGACGGUACCUAAUCAGAAAGCCACGGCUAACUACGUGCCAGCAGCCGCGGUAAUACGUAGGUGGCAAGCGUUAUCCGGAAUUAUUGGGCGUAAAGCGCGCGUAGGCGGUUUUUUAAGUCUGAUGUGAAAGCCCACGGCUCAACCGUGGAGGGUCAUUGGAAACUGGAAAACUUGAGUGCAGAAGAGGAAAGUGGAAUUCCAUGUGUAGCGGUGAAAUGCGCAGAGAUAUGGAGGAACACCAGUGGCGAAGGCGACUUUCUGGUCUGUAACUGACGCUGAUGUGCGAAAGCGUGGGGAUCAAACAGGAUUAGAUACCCUGGUAGUCCACGCCGUAAACGAUGAGUGCUAAGUGUUAGGGGGUUUCCGCCCCUUAGUGCUGCAGCUAACGCAUUAAGCACUCCGCCUGGGGAGUACGACCGCAAGGUUGAAACUCAAAGGAAUUGACGGGGACCCGCACAAGCGGUGGAGCAUGUGGUUUAAUUCGAAGCAACGCGAAGAACCUUACCAAAUCUUGACAUCCUUUGACAACUCUAGAGAUAGAG
rnacentral:rRNA from 1 species